rnacentral:rRNA from 1 species
UACGGAGGGUGCGAGCGUUGUCCGGAAUCAUUGGGCGUAAAGGGCGCGUAGGUGGCCCGGUCAGUCUUUGGUGAAAGCGCGGGGCUCAACCCUGCGUCGGCCAGGGAUACUGCCGCGGCUCGAGCACUGUAGAGGCAGGCGGAAUUCCGGGUGUAGCGGUGGAAUGCGUAGAGAUGUGGAGGAACACCAGUGGCGAAGGCGGCUUUCUGGCCCGUUCUUGACGCUGAGGCGCGAAAGCUAGGGUAGCAAACGGG